rnacentral:lncRNA from 1 species
UGUCACCGCCUCUCACUCAAGGGACCUCUUUUGUCCAUUGAAGAAAUGGAAGCUGUGAAAAAGAUGAACUACAGAGGGUGGCGCAGUAAGGUUCUUGAUAUUACCUUCUCCCGAGACCGUGGUACGAAGGGUCUAGAGGAGACCUUAGAUAGGAUCUGCUCUGAAGCGCUCGAGACUGUGGUACGAAGGGUCUAGAGGAGACCUUAGAUAGGAUCUGCUCUGAAGCGCACAGUGCGAUUCAGGAGGGUUAUACAACAAUCAUUCUUUCUGACAGAG